rfam:Desulfobacterales bacterium PC51MH44 PC51MH44_contig000019, whole genome shotgun sequence.
CGGACCGAUUCAAAAAUUCCGGAUGCGCAGGCUGCCUAUGAGCAUGCAUUAACCAUUCCCUACGUUGCCCUUUCAGGGGCGACUCAUGUCAGUUGCGGAGCCG